GACGAACGCUGGCGGCGUGCUUAACACAUGCAAGUCGAACGAUGAUGCCCAGCUUGCUGGGUGGAUUAGUGGCGAACGGGUGAGUAACACGUGAGUAACCUGCCCCUGACUCUGGGAUAAGCGUUGGAAACGACGUCUAAUACUGGAUAUGACUGCCGGCCGCAUGGUCUGGUGGUGGAAAGAUUUUUUGGUUGGGGAUGGACUCGCGGCCUAUCAGCUUGUUGGUGAGGUAAUGGCUCACCAAGGCGACGACGGGGAGCCGGCCUGAGAGGGUAACCGGCCACACUGGGACUGAGACACGGCCCAGACUCCUACGGGAGGCAGCAGUGGGGAAUAUUGCACAAUGGGCGAAAGCCUGAUGCAGCAACGCCGCGUGAGGGAUGACGGCCUUCGGGUUGUAAACCUCUUUUAGUAGGGAAGAAGCGUAAGUGACGGUACCUGCAGAAAAAGCACCGGCUAACUACGUGCCAGCAGCCGCCGUAAGAC
rnacentral:rRNA from 1 species